rfam:Solanum tuberosum cultivar DM 1-3 516 R44 scf00427_49, whole genome shotgun sequence.
CAUCCCUCACCCUAACUAGAUGGUAAAUGCAACCCUUAGAAAUAAUCUUUCUAGCUUUAAGACAAGCGACAAACUGACCCUUAGGCAUAGAAUUUCCCUCUUCCACUCUAGGAUCGGCUCAUUCGGAAACUGAAACUUGACUACACAUGUUCUACUAUCAAUAGAAGCAUAACAUGAGUGCAGCCAAUCCAUACCAAGUAUAACAUCAAAAUCUAGCAUAUAAAGCUCGACAUUGGACGUGGCCUGCCCGCAUAGUCUGUGGUUUGCACUCUUUAAACGAGCGACAUCGCAUGCGACGACAUCUGUGUGCUCCAGACACUGGCCUAUGGGCUCCACAUUUGACCCGUCUUUAAACACCGACCAAGGAGUCUGACAUGUGUCCGAGUCAACGGGCUAGUAAAUUCAUAAGGCGUAAGGAAUCUGAUUGGUGGGAUCCCCCUGAGGGGUGCACCGCCGACCAACCUUGAUCUUCUGAGAAGGGUUCGAGUGUGAGCAUACCUGUUGGGACCCGAAAGAUGCUGAACUAUGCCUGAGUGAGGUGAAGCCAAAGCAUACUCUGGUGGAGGCCCGUAGCGAUACUGAUGUGCAAAUCGUUCAUCUGACUUGGGUAUAGGGGCGAAAGACUAAUCGAACUGUCUAGUAGCUAGUUCCCUUUGAAGUCUCCCUAAGAAUAGCUGGAGCUCGCGUGUGAGUUCUAUUGGGUAAAGACAAUGAUUAGAGGAUUCGUGAGCGCAACAGCCUUGACCUAUUCUCGAACUUUAAAUCAGUAGGACGGCGGGACUGCUUUGUCGAGCUGCACCACAAAAUCAGUAGCUCAAAGUGGACCAUUUUUUGUAAACUGAACUGGCGUUGCGGGAUGAACGGAAAGUCGCCUUAUGGUGCCAAACUGCACUCUAACCAAGAUCCAACAAAGGUUGUUGGUCGAUUAAGACAGCAGGAAGGUGGUCAUCGAAGUCCAAAUCCGCUAAGGAGUGUGUACCAAUUCAGCAGCCGAGUAAACUAACCCCGAAAAUAGAUGGCGCUUAAGCGCGAGACCUACACCCAGCCGUCAGGGCAAGUGCCAGACCCUGAUGAGUUGGAGGGAAUAGCGGUCACGGCAAAACCUUGGGCAUGAGCCUGGGCGGAGCAGCCGUUAAUGCAGAUCUUUGUGGUAGUAGCAAAUUUUCAAAUGAGAACUUUGAAGGGUGAAGAGGGGAAAUGUUCAAUGUGAAUGGCACUAGCACAUGGGUUAGUCGAUCCUAUGGGUCGAGGGAACCCCGACAGAUAAUGCAUUUCGCGCGUACCCCGAAAGGGAACCGAGUUAAGAAUCCUGAAUUGGGACGUGGCAGUUGACGACAACGUUUGGAAGUCGGGAGACGUCGGUGGGAGCCUCGGGAAGAGUUGUCUUUUGCCGUUUCACAUCAUGCCCACCAUGGAAUCGGCUCUGCCGGAGGUUGGGUCCAACGGCUGGAAGAGCACCACACGUCACGUGGUGUCCGGUGCGCUCUCGGCGAUCCUUCAAAAUCCAGAGGACAGAAUGUUGUCCACGCUCAGUCAUACUCAUAACCGCAUCAGGUCUGCAAGGUGAACAACCUCUAGUUGAUGGAACAAUGUAGGCAAGGGAAGUCGGCAAAAUGGAUUCGUAACUUCGGGAAAAGAAUUGGCUCUGAGGGUUUGGCAUGGGUGUCCUAGUUCCGAACCCACUGGCUGUCGGUGGACUUCUUGAGCGGAUCCCGCAGAAAUAGCGGGUCGCCGUGUGCCGGCCGGGGGAAGAACUGGGAACGGUUCCUUCGGGGGCCUUCCCCGGGAGUCAAACAGCUAACUCAGAACUGGUAUAGACAAGGGGAAUUCGACUAUUUAAUUUUAACAAAGCAUUGCGAUGGUCCCAACGAAUGUUUACCCAAAGUCAUUUUUAUCCAGUGCUCUAAAUGUCAAAGUGAAGAAAUUCAACCAUGCGGGGGUAAACGACCGGAGUAACUAUGACUCUCUUAAGGUAGCCAAAUGCCUCGUCAUCUUAUUAGUGAUGCGCAUGAAUGUAUUAACAAGAUUCCCACUGUCCCUGUCUAAUAUACAGCGAAACAACAGCCAAGCGAACAGGCUUGGCAGAAUCAGUGGGGAAAGAAGACCCUAUUGAGCUUGAGUCUAGUCCGACUUUAUGAAAUGACUUCAGAGGUGUAGUAUAAGUAGGAGUCGUAAGGCGAAAAUGAAAUACCACCACUUUUAACGUUAUUUUACUUAUUCCGUGAAUCGGAAGCGGGGAACUACAACUAUUUUGGACCCAAGGCUUGCUUCGCGGGUCGAUCCGGGGAAUGCAACCCAAAUCGGGCGGUGAAUUUCGUCCUAGGCUAAAUACAGGUGAGAGACUAAUAACGAACAAGUACCACGAGGGAAAUAUUAAAAGGAAUUUGAAAAGAGAGUCAAAGAGUGCUUGAAAUUGUCGGGAGGGAAGUCGAUGGAGGCUGACAAUGCACCCCGGUCGGAUGUGGAACGGUGACGAGCUGGUCCACCGAUCGACUCGGGGGGAACUAUGCCUGAGCGGGGGGAAGCCAAGGUCAUGGAUAGGAUAAUUCUUCAUAUGAAUCUUAAGUUGCCUUGAGGCAUAGGCAACAACUUUCCCAUUUUGCAUAAGCACACACCCUAACCCAAUUCUUGAGUCAUCACAAUAAACCACAAAACCAUCAGGCCCUUCCAAUAAAUUCAACACCGGAGCAGAAGUAAGUCUAUCCUUCAACUCUUGAAAACUCUUCUCACACUUUUCAGACCAUAUGAACUUGGCCUUCUUUGGUGUCAAAGGAGAGGCAAUUGAAGAGAAUCCCUCAAAAAAUCUUCUAUAGGAUCCGGCUAAACCCAAGAAACUUCUAAUUUCUGAAGGAGUUAGAAGUCUAGGCCAACUCUUGACCACAUCUGUCUUCUUAGGAUCUACCUCAAUACCCUUUGUUGAAAUAAUAUGACCAUGAAAAGCUAAGAAUCUUAGAUAAAACUUACAUUUCCUAAAAUUCGCAAAGAGUUGUUGGUCGAUUAAGACAGCAGGAAGGUGGUCAUGGAAGUCGAAAUCCGCUAAGGAGUGUGUACCAAUUCAGCAGCCGAGUAAACUAACCCCGAAUAUUGAUGGCGCUUAAGCGCGCGACCUACACCCAGCCGUCAGGGCAAGAGAGGAACCGUUGAUUCACAUAAUUAGUCAUCGCGCUUGGUUGAAAAGCCAGUGGCGCGAAGCUACCAUGUGUUGGAUUAUGAAUGAACGCCUCUAAGUUAGAAUCCAGGCAAGAAGCGACGCAUACGGCCACCAUACGCCUGCCGACCCGCAGUAGGGGCCAUUAGCCCCCAAGGGAUCGUUUUGUUGGCUAAGUCACCGCGACGGAAGCGGCGCGGUGACUGCCUUGAAGUACAAUUUCCAUUGAGCGGUGGGUAGAAUCCUUUGCAGAAGACAUAAAUACGUGACGGGGUAUUGUAAGUGGAAGAGUGGCCUUGCUGCCACGAUCCACUGAGAUACAACCCUUUGUCACUCCGAUUCCAUUUCCCCACCUUCCCCCUCCCUCAACCUCAAAUCCAAUCAUUUCUAACAUUUCAAAUAAGAGGUUCAUGUUAUGCUUGCUUCCUUGGAAGGAAAAAAACCACUAACGGUUGAAAUAUAAGUUCCGAGAAUAACAUGGUCCGUGAAAUUUACUAC